AGAGUUUGAUCAUGGCUCAGGACAAACGUUGGCGGCGUGCCUAACACAUGCAAGUCGACCGAAUUAGAUUCGGGGCGAACGGGUGAGUAACACGUGGAUAACCUGCCCUCAACUUAGCCAUAAUCCGUCGAAAGGCGGUCUAAUAGCUAAUGGUUCCCGAUAGCUUUGGCUAAUCGGGAUAAAAAUUUACUUCGAUUUUAUCGGAGUAAAUCGGUUGAGGAGGGAUCUGCGUCCUAUCAGCUUGUUGGUGAGGUAAUGGCUCACCAAGGCUUCGACGGGUAGCUGGACUGAGAGGUUGACCAGCCACAAUGGGACUGAGAUACGGCCCAUACUCCUACGGGAGGCAGCAGUUGGGAAUAUUGCGCAAUGGGCGAAAGCCUGACGCAGCGACGCCGCGUGGAGGAAGAAGCUUUUCGGAGUGUAAACUUCAAUAACUAGGGAUGAAAUCUUGACAGUACCUAGUGAAAGCACCGACUAACUACGUGCCAGCAGUCGCGGUAAUACGUAGGGUGCGAGCGUUGUC
rnacentral:rRNA from 1 species